rnacentral:rRNA from 1 species
AAAUCUCAACAUAAGAGUAUAUGGCGGAUGCCUUGGGAGAAGUGGCCGAUGAAGGACGUAGUAGCCUGCGAUAAGCUUCGGGGAGCUGGCAAACAAGCUUUGAUCCGGAGAUUUCCGAAUGGGGAAACCCACGACGAUGAAGUCGUCGUAUUCUAGUGCUGUAAUGCACUGAGAAUGGGAACCUGCUGAACUGAAACAUCUUAGUAAGCAGAGGAAAAGAAAACGAAUUGUGAUUCCCUUAGUAGUGGCGAGCGAAAAGGGAAGAGCCUAAACUUCCUUGGUAACCAGAUUGCGGACAUCAGGAGUUAUCGGACCUUGAUCCAUUAAAAUUGAGGGAUCAGAAUGAGUCUGGAUAACUAUCUGGUGUCCGAUAUCUGGUUACUGAGCAAGGGUUAUAGGGUAGCACAGCCGUAAGGCAGUGGAUAUCUAUCAUGGCUAGCUGAAUGAUCCUGGAAAGGACAGUCAUAGAGGGUGAUAGCCCCGUAAGCGAAAGUCGUUAGAUACCAUGUUGUUAUUCCUAAGUACCAACAGGCACGCGAAACCUGCUGGGAAUUCAGCGUGAUCAUGCGCUAAGGCUAAAUACUGCUUCUCACCGAUAGUGAACUAGUACCGUGAGGGAAAGGUUAAAAGAAGGCCGAGAGGGCCAGUGAAAUAGAACCUGAAACCAUAUACUUACAAAGAGUCGGAGCCUUGGAUUUAUCCGGGGUGACGGCGUGCCUUUUGAAGAAUGAGCCAACGAGUUAGCUAGAUGUCGCAAGCUUAAGAUCUUAUGGAUUGGAGGCGAAGCGAAAGCGAGUCCGAAUAGGGCGUUAAGUGGCAUCUACUAGACCCGAAACCGGGUGAUCUAUCCAUGGGCAGGGUGAAGCCGCUGUAAAAGGCGGUGGAGGCCCGCACACACCAGGCGUGCAAUCCUGGGUGAUGACCUGUGGAUAGCGGAGAAAUUCCAAUCGAACCCGGAGAUAGCUGGUUCUCCCCGAAAUAUAUUUAGGUAUAGCCUCUUACCGCAAUUCUCGAGGUAGAGCACUGGUUGAUGUUCGGCGGAGCAAUCUGUCGGCAUCAGACAAACUCCGAAUGCGAGUUGUUAGGGUAAGGGAGUCAGACUGUGCGGGCUAAGCUGCAUAGUCAAGAGGAAAAGAGUCCAGACCAUUAGCUAAGGUCCCCAAAUUUUGACUAAGUGGAAAAGGAUGUGAAUGAGCGUUGACAACUAGGAGGUUGGCUUAGAAGCAGCCAUCCUUGAAAGAGUGCGUAACAGCUCACUAGUCCAGAGCACGACUUGUCAAAGUCUUGCCGAAAGGCGAGAUAGAGAUUAGUCCUCUGCGCUCGUUUGCGCCGAAAAUUUAACGGGGCUCAAGUCAAGUACCGAAGCUAUGGAUGAUCGCGUCUCACUAUUGUUCGACACUAAAUGCAAAAAUCAAAAAUCAAAAUGCAAAAUUACGGUAUCGCUUUGCGACGAUUAAUAUAUAAAAUAUUAUGAGUAGAGCGAAUUUCCACUAUUUUGAGAUUUGAACUUUGAGGUUUGAAUUAAAGCGGCGAGCAGUAGCGAGACGCGGUCGUGGUAGGGGAGCGUUCUGCAGGCAGUGAAGCUGCUCCGCGAGGAUGUGGUGGAGCGUGCAGAAGUGAGAAUGUUGGCAUGAGUAGCGAAUUAGCCGUGUGAGAAACACGGCCACCGAAUGCCUUAGGUUUCCCCCGCAACGGUAAUCGACGGGGGGUUAGUCGGUCCUAACCCAGCUCUUUGAGCAGAAGUUCAAGAGCUGGAAAUCCAAAAUUCAUCCGCCAACUGGCGGACUAAAUCUUAAACAAAUACCAAUAGCCAAAGUCCAAAACUUUAACCUUUUGGAAAUUGCGAUUUUGAAAAUUGUUUAGAGUUUAGUGCUUAGAAUUUAGAGUUUCCCUUUGUGAGCUUACGAACAAAGGGCUGGGGAUGGACAACAGGUUGAUAUUCCUGUACUACGGUAGUCUUACCACCAGAUGACGCGGAUCGGAGGUUGCAUGCAGCUAUGGCUAUUUUGUGUGGAGCUAAAGAUUCGACGAGAAAAGUCUGGUAUUAAUUGGCUAUUGUAUCCGUACCGCAAACCGACGCAGGUAGGCGAGGCGAGGAGCCUCAGGUGAUCGAGAGAACUCUCGUUAAGGAACUCGGCAAUAAAUCGGGCGUAACUUCGGGAUAUGCCCUGCCUAGUCUAACUAGGCCGCAGCGAAAGACACCCAGGCGACUGUUUACCAAAAACUUAGGUCUCUGCAAACCCAUUGUGGGAAGUAUAGGGGCUGAUGCCUGCCCAGUGCUAGAAGGUUAUCGGGAGAGUUGACUCCGCUAUUUAUAGCGGCGGAGGCUUGAACUUAAGCCCUAGUGAACGGCAGCGGUAACUAUAACCGUUCUAUGGUAGCGAAAUUCCUUGUCGUGUAAGUUACGACCCGCACGAAUGGCAUAACGGUCUGGGUACUGUCUCAACGAGAGACUCGGCGAAAUUACAGUGCCGGUAAAGAUGCCGGUUACCCGCAGCAAGACGGAAAGACCCCGUGGAGCUUUACUACAACUUGACAUUGGGUUUUGGAAUAAGAUGUGUAGGCUAGGUGGGAGAGGCAACUCGAAAGAUGAAACACCACCCUUAUUAUUUUGAAAUUCUAAUCCUAGAAUAUCUUCGAGACAGUGUCAGGCGGGUAGUUUGACUGGGGCGGUCGCCUUAAGAUUGGCUUUCUUCGUUAAGCCAUAGGGGCGUCUUGGCUAUAUGCUGGAACAUCCGAGUAUGGUAUGAUACUAAUAGAGCACAGCUCUAAAGUAAAAAUUUAUACCUGCGGACAAUCAGCAGGGAAGAAAGGAAAAAAUUGAUGAACGUGGUGAUCCUUUCCCCUCAACGACUAUACGCCAAGCUCUGUAUCACACAAAAAGCAAAUGUGCCCCAUUGAUACAGGGAAGAUAUAGUCUGAACUGCAUGGCGACAUGCAGAUCUCCGAUCCGCUAAACGGACGGAGAAUCCAAAAUUAUAAUUAUAUGCAUAGCAAUAAAAUUGAAAACUACAAGCAAAGACUCAAAUUGAGCUCUCGGCAACGAGAGAUAUUGAUUGGAUUAUUGCUUGGUGACGGAUGUCUGGAAACGCAAAAUAAUGGCGUGACCUAUCGAUUGAAAAUAGAGCAUGGUGUUAUGCAAAAGAAUUAUGUUGAUUGGCUUUAUGAUAGCUAUAAAGACUGGGUAUUAACUCCUCCACAGAUAAAACAAAAGAAAACCGGCGAGACCACUUCUGAAAAUAUUUGGUUUAAUACGGUUAGCCAUAUAGCGUUACGCUAUUAUGGGAAACAGUUUUAUCCUGAAGGAAAGAAAGUUGUGCCUAUGUUUAUUGGCAGAUUAUUAAAGCCAUUAACUCUUGCGGUUUGGUUUAUGGAUGAUGGCUCAUUGAAAUCGAAAGAUCAUAGAGCAUUAAUUCUAAACACGCAAGGAUUUACCAUCAAGGAUGUUGAAAUCUUACAAAAAGGGCUAAAAGAGAAUUAUUCUGUUGAAGCCCAACAAAGAAAGCAGAAAGAUGGUAUCCAGCUUAUGAUUACUGGAGAAUCGGCAGAGAAGUUUGUGCGAAUUAUUUCGACUUACUUGUUGCCUCAAUUCAACUAUAAGCUAGGAAAACUUGGAUUAACAUAAUUGCCUAAAAGGUAACGGAGGCGUACAAAGGUCGGCUAACUCCGGAUGGAAAUCGGAGUGAUAGUGCAAACGCAUAAGCCGGCUUUACUGAGAGACUUACAAGUCGACCAGUUGCGAAAGCAGGUGUUAGUGAUCCUCUGGCGCAGAAUGAGAUGGCCAGAGCUCAACGGAUAAAAGCUACCCCGGGGAUAACAGGCUGAUUGCGCCCAAUAGUUCACAUAGACGGCGCAGUUUGGCACCUCGAUGUCGGCUCAUCGUAUCCUGGGGCUGGAGAAGGUCCCAAGGGUUUGGCUGUUCGCCAAUUAAAACGGUACGCGAGCUGGGUUCAGAACGUCGCGAGACAGUUCGGUCCUCAUCUGCUGUGGGCGUGGAAAACUGAAGAGGUCUGUCCCUAGUAUGAGAAGACCGGGAUGGACGAACCUAUGGUGUAUCAGUUGUACUACCAAGUGCAUUGCUGAGUAGCUACGUUCGGUUGGGAUAACCGCUGAAAGCAUAUAAGCGGGAAGCCCGCUCUGAGAUUAGUUUUCAUAGACUCCUAGUAGACCACUAGGUUGAUAGGCACCAGGUGUAAGUGUGGUAACAUAUUGAGCCGAGGUGUACUAAUAGUCAUAUUGAGAUUCUA